rnacentral:rRNA from 1 species
UACGUAGGGGGCUAGCGUUGUCCGGAAUCAUUGGGCGUAAAGAGCGUGUAGGCGGCCCGGUAAGUCCGCUGUGAAAGUCGGGGGCUCAACCCUCGAAUGCCGGUGGAUACUGUCGGGCUAGAGUGCGGGAGAGGCGAGUGGAAUUCCUGGUGUAGCGGUGAAAUGCGCAGAUAUCAGGAGGAACACCGAUUGCGAAGGCAGCUCGCUGGAACGUAACUGACGCUGAGACGCGAAAGCGUGGGGAGCAAACAGG